rnacentral:lncRNA from 8 species
AUGCUUCCUAAGGCAGAGUUAAAGAAGUGGUUUCAAAAGCCUUUGGCACAUACAAGUGUGUUUGCUCUCUCCUUACCUACCCAUCUCACAGUAGACAUGGAAUCUUGGCUGAAGAAUAUUCUGAUUCUUUCUGCAUUUUGUUGGGAAUGCAGAGGAGACAGAGUGUUACAGCCAAAAGGAGUUGAGACGGCUACCGAAGGAGGACAAAUUACACUUGCCUGUCUUUAUGAAACAGAUGAUGCAAGUCCAUAUCUAUUCUGGUACAAACAGGGAGCAAACUACUACCCAAAGUAUAUGCUUAUGCGGAUCAAUUUUGAAACUGGGGACAAUGCUACUGAGUUCAAGGAGAGAUUUCAUGCUGAUCUAGAUGCCAACUCCAAAUCAGCCCCCUUGACGAUCCAGAGGUUUACAGCUGUCUGACUCUGCUGUGUACUACUGUGCUCUGAAGCCCACUGUGACAACAGGAUAUACAACCCCUUUACAAAAACAUACUGAGCUACACAAUGACAAUGCACUUGUACAGUAUAGUAACACAAUAAAUGUAAAUCCGGGACACUCAAAUUAGCAUGAAAUGUUAUGUUUGUUAUGUUUACUUAAGACAGAAAGUUACUUAAGGCAAAUCCUUAAACCUUUCAGCUAACCACUCCCCUAAUCCUAACCUUAACCCUUUAGCCUAACUCCUAAACCCUAAUCUAGCUAACAUUAGCCAGCUAGCUAACAUUGGUGUCAGCCACCUAGUCACCUACUGUAGCUAACAUCAGCCACAACACAUUGGAAUUCAUAACAUAUCAUACAUUUUGCAAAUUCAUAACAUAUUGUACAAUUUGCAAAUUAAUAAGAUAUUGUAUGUUUUCAAAUUGACAUCCACAAAUUAGUACAUAGCAUUUGAAAUGUAACAUAUCAUACUAAAUGGACUGGUUCGGAUUUACUUACAGGAUAAUACGAAAUGCUCUGACACCAGGUUGUAGAUGUAGACAUAAGAGACAUUAAAAUGCCAUUACAAUAUGUCAUAGAUUAGAAAAUAGACCAUUGUUUUAUUUUUAGAGUUGGCCUUGUAGUGUUACUUAGAUGAAUUUAGAAAAAGCAAUACUCAGUAUUGUGUACAUGUCACGUCCUGACCAGCAGAUGGAGCUGUUGUUGUAGUUUUGGGGUCAGGCCGUGGCAGUCUUGUGUUCUGUGUUGGUCUUGUGACUCCUAAUCAGGAACAGCUGGGGAUCAUUGUUCCUGAUUGGGAGUCAUAUAUAUAGGAGUAUGUUUGUCACUUGGGUUUGUGGGUAGUUGUUUUUACACUGCGUGUAUAGCCUGUAAAACUGCUACUGUUGUCACC